UACUCUUUAUCGACCACCCAAAACACGGUUGCAACGUUGCAACUGGCACAUACAAAGAUCUUUUGUCAGCAGGAGCCAUUGAUCCAACCAAAGUGAAAAUGAUCAUUACUUAAUUACAGAUUGAAGUACUCCGUUAUGCAUGCUAACCGAGUGUUUUUCUUAGGCUUGUGAGAUGUUUCUUACAGUAUGCUUCAGCCAUAGCUAAAGCAUCUUUGAUGUCCAAGUGUGUUGUUGUCGACAUCAAGGAGCCUGACUCAGCAGCUUCUGCUGCUUUUAGAGCACGUAAUCACAUAACAGAUUUUAGUGACACAGAAAUUGGUGUUGCACAAAAAAGAAAGCAAUUUAUGAUGCGGAAGAUGAACCAAGGCCUGCUCUCAACCCCCAUAUCCAAGAUAUUCAACUCGUGCACUUAAAGAUAGGAGAUCACAUGAUAGUCUUUCAAGCUAGAGAAGGGAAUAGAGUGGCAGACAAAAUUGCAAAGGAAGAUCUCUUUUUUU